rnacentral:rRNA from 1 species
CCUGAUGAUUGGGACAACCCCGGGAAACCGGGGCUAAUACCAAAUGUGCUCUUUCCACAUCAGUGGAUCGAGGAAAGGAGGCUUCGGCUUCCGCAUCGGGAUGAGCCCGCGGCCCAUUAGCUUGUUGGUGGGGUAACGGCCUACCAAGGCUCCGAUGGGUAGCUGGUCUGAGAGGACGAUCAGCCACACUGGGACUGAGACACGGCCCAGACUCCUACGGGAGGCAGCAGUGGGGAAUCUUGCGCAAUGCGCGAAAGCGUGACGCAGCAACGCCGCGUGAGGGAAGACGGCCUUCGGGUUGUAAACCUCUUUCAGUUGGGACGAAGCCUCUGCGGUUAAUACCCGUAUGAGGUGACGGUACCUUCAGAAGAAGCCCCGGCUAACUACGUGCCAGCAGCCGCGGUAAUACGUAGGGGGCAAGCGUUGUCCGGAAUCAUUGGGCGUAAAGCGCGUGUAGGCGGCUUGGUAAGUCCGCUCUGAAAGCCCGGGGCUCAACCCCGGGAGGCGGGUGGAUACUGUCAAGCUCGAGUCCGGAAGAGGCGAGUGGAAUUCCUGGUGUAGCGGUGAAAUGCGCAGAUAUCAGGAGGAACACCAAUGGCGAAGGCAGCUCGCUGGGACGUGACUGACGCUGAGAC